GAUUUUGUAGCUCAGUUGGUUCAGAGCGCCGCCUUGACAGGGCGGAGGUCGGGGGUUCGAGCCCCUCCAGGAUCACUA
rnacentral:tRNA from 1 species